ACAGUAACGAAGUCAGAAUCAAGUUUAACACAUGACAUUGUGGAAGGGAAUCCAAAAUUAAAGAAAUUCUUGUGAAAACGCCGUGUUUAAGAUUGAAGUACAUAGUGAAGAGAGGCGUUUAAUCUAUGAAUGAAGAGUGAUAUUAGAAAAAAAAAAUCGGCUAUUAGGUAGAAUUGCAAGAGGAUUGGGUAUGUGGUGAGAUAGUCACAAAAUAGCCAACAA